GGAAGGGUGGCAGAGUGGACGAAUGCACAGGUCUUGAAAACCUGCAUGGCGGCAACGUCAUCGAGGGUUCGAAUCCCUCCCCUUCCG
rnacentral:tRNA from 1 species